GAUGAACGCUAGCUACAGGCUUAACACAUGCAAGUCGAGGGGCAGCAUUUCAGUUUGCUUGCAAACUGGAGAAGGCGACCGGCGCACGGGUGAGUAACACGUAUCCAACCUGCCGAUAACUCGGGGAUAGCCUUUCGAAAGAAAGAUUAAUACCCGAUGGUAUAAUCAGACCGCAUGGUCUUGUUAUUAAAGAAUUUCGGUUAUCGAUGGGGAUGCGUUCCAUUAGGCAGUUGGUGAGGUAACGGCUCACCAAACCUUCGAUGGAUAGGGGUUCUGAGAGGAAGGUCCCCCACAUUGGAACUGAGACACGGUCCAAACUCCUACGGGAGGCAGCAGUGAGGAAUAUUGGUCAAUGGGCGCAGGCCUGAACCAGCCAAGUAGCGUGAAGGAUGACUGCCCUAUGGGUUGUAAACUUCUUUUAUAUGGGAAUAAAGUUUUCCACGUGUGGAAUUUUGUAUGUACCAUAUGAAUAAGGAUCGGCUAACUCCGUGCCAGCAGCCGCGGUAAUACGGAGGAUCCGAGCGUUAUCCGGAUUUAUUGGGUUUAAAGGGAGCGUAGGUGGACAGUUAAGUCAGUUGUGAAAGUUUGCGGCUCAACCGUAAAAUUGCAGUUGAUACUGGCUGUCUUGAGUACAGUAGAGGUGGGCGGAAUUCGUGGUGUAGCGGUGAAAUGCUUAGAUAUCACGAAGAACUCCGAUUGCGAAGGCAGCUCACUGGACUGCAACUGACACUGAUGCUCGAAAGUGUGGGUAUCAAACAGGAUUAGAUACCCUGGUAGUCCACACAGUAAACGAUGAAUACUCGCUGUUUGCGAUAUACAGUAAGCGGCCAAGCGAAAGCAUUAAGUAUUCCACCUGGGGAGUACGCCGGCAACGGUGAAACUCAAAGGAAUUGACGGGGGCCCGCACAAGCGGAGGAACAUGUGGUUUAAUUCGAUGAUACGCGAGGAACCUUACCCGGGCUUAAAUUGCAUUUGAAUAUAUUGGAAACAGUAUAGCCGUAAGGCAAAUGUGAAGGUGCUGCAUGGUUGUCGUCAGCUCGUGCCGUGAGGUGUCGGCUUAAGUGCCAUAACGAGCGCAACCCUUAUCUUUAGUUACUAACAGGUCAUGCUGAGGACUCUAGAGAGACUGCCGUCGUAAGAUGUGAGGAAGGUGGGGAUGACGUCAAAUCAGCACGGCCCUUACGUCCGGGGCUACACACGUGUUACAAUGGGGGGUACAGAAGGCAGCUACCUGGUGACAGGAUGCUAAUCCCAAAAGCCUCUCUCAGUUCGGAUCGAAGUCUGCAACCCGACUUCGUGAAGCUGGAUUCGCUAGUAAUCGCGCAUCAGCCAUGGCGCGGUGAAUACGUUCCCGGGCCU
rnacentral:rRNA from 1 species